rnacentral:misc_RNA from 1 species
GUAGGUGAACCUGCGGAAGGAUCAUUAGAAAUAAUCCGGCAUAGCCGGUAUAAAAUUCUACCCACCUUGUGUGCAAACAAUGGAAAAGAGAGAAAAUUGGAUUCUUUUUUAGUAUCCAACUUCUCUAACAUUUUUUAUAAACUCCAUCAAAUUUUUAAUUGAAAACAUUUUUUUUUAAUAAAAAACAUUAUACAACUUUCAACAACGGAUCUCUUGGCUCUCGCAUCGAUGAAGAACGCAGCAUCUGACU